rnacentral:rRNA from 1 species
UACGUAGGGGCAAGCGUUGUCCGGAAUUACUGGGCGUAAAGCGUGCGUAGGUGGUUGUUCAAGUCUGUCGUGAAAGCCCUGGGCUCAACCUGGGAAUUGCGAUGGAAACUGGAUGGCUAGAGUGUGGUAGAGGAUGGCGGAAUUCCCGGUGUAGCGGUGAAAUGCGUAGAGAUCGGGAGGAACAUCCGUGGCGAAGGCGGCCAUCUGGACCAACACUGACACUGAGGCACGAAAGCGUGGGGAGCAGACAGGAUUAGAUACCCGGGUA